GACGAACGCUGGCGGCGUGCUUAACACAUGCAAGUCGAACGGAAAGGCCCUGCUUUUGUGGGGUGCUCGAGUGGCGAACGGGUGAGUAACACGUGAGUAACCUGCCCUUGACUUUGGGAUAACUUCAGGAAACUGGGGCUAAUACCGGAUAGGAGCUCCUGCUGCAUGGUGGGGGUUGGAAAGUUUCGGCGGUUGGGGAUGGACUCGCGGCUUAUCAGCUUGUUGGUGGGGUAGUGGCUUACCAAGGCUUUGACGGGUAGCCGGCCUGAGAGGGUGACCGACCACAUUGGGACUGAGAUACGGCCCAGACUACUACGGGAGGCAGCAGUGGGGAAUAUUGCACAAUGGGCGGAAGCCUGAUGCAGCAACGCCGCGUGCGGGAUGACGGCCUUCGGGUUGUAAACCGCUUUCGCCUGUGACGAAGCGUGAGUGACGGUAAUGGGUAAAGAAGCACCGGCUAACUACGUG
rnacentral:rRNA from 1 species